rnacentral:rRNA from 1 species
GUGCCAGCCGCCGCGGUAAGACAGAGGUGGCUAGCGUUGUUCGGAAUCAUUGGGCUUAAAGCGCACGUAGGCGGCUCUUCAAGUGUCUUGUGAAAUCCCUCGGCUUAACCGAGGAAUGGCUGGGCAUACUGUUGAGCUUGAGGCAGGUAGGGGCGAGUGGAACUCUUGGUGGAGCGGUGGAAUGCGUAGAUAUCAAGAGGAACGCCGAUGGUGAAGACGACUCGCUGGGCCUGUCCUGACGCUGAGGUGCGAAAGCCAGGGGAGCAAACGGGAUUAGAAACCCUUGUAGUCC